GGAGGACCUGGGGUGGCUGGAGCUAGAGCCGGACCUGGUGUCAGAAGUGGGCGGGGCCAGGGAUUCCAGAGAAAGGCUUAACGUGUACUUGAAGUGAGCAAAGGGUUUUGAAUGAACCAAGAACUGGAUCAGAUUUAUGCUUUUUAUAUAGAUGGGUCUCCAGUCUGUGUGAACAGAUUGGAGGGGGCCAGGGUGGGAGCUGAGGCCCAGGCAGAGGCUUUGCAGAGUGCCAGGAGAGGGCGCUGUAGCCCGGACUGAAGUGUGGGUGGGAAGGCGGCAGAUGCAUUUCUCUGCUGUUUUUCUCCCUGCUGAGCUUGGGUCCUCGUGGAGGGCGGAUGGCAGACAUUUCACUCUGGGACCUCAUGCCUAUGCAUCCGAAAGACCCCCAGGCGCCUGGGUGUAAGAACCAUCAUCUGCCUUGGAGUAGAGUUUCUAUAAAUGUAACAUUCACCGAUGGAUGGAAGACGGCCACAACUCUAAAAUCACAGGGAGCUUUUCAGAAGAAAAUAGAAUAGCACAGCUGUUCCCAUGGACAAAGCUGGCAGACCUGCGACCGCAUCAAGCAGUCCGCCAGCGGAACCAAGCGGCGCAUGUUCAUCAAGACCACGGGCGGCUACUGUGGCUACCUGGCCAACAUGGGGGGGAUCGCGGCCAGAGCCGAUGCCGCAUACAUUUUCGAAGAGCCCUUCGACAUUGAGGAUCUGCAGGUAUGUGACGGGGCUGGCCUCAGGGGACCGUCCCCUUGGGAUCCUCUCGGUGCUGCGGAGCAAAUCAUCGUGUCUAGGGUGGUUUGCUUUUCGAGGGGGCAUGCAGACGGAGGUGUUACCGAACACGCCACGCUUGAUGCCCUUUGCAUCGACCAGGUGCCUCUCCCGAGUGUCAGGUGAUGGCGGACGUGCCUGGUUGAGGACACCUUCUAGUCUCUUGUGUGAAACACAAGUUUGUUUUUUUGAUGUAGUCUGUUGUGUAAUGUUUUCUCCCUUCUGUCACAAACGAUUUGAGUGCCUCCACUGACAGUCACCACCCACGUCUGCGACUGGCUCUGGAGCUGGCUGCAGCUUCUUUUAAGUCUUGAGGCCUCUGAUGCUGCAUCUGCCUCUAAACUGACACAGACACGGCCGUGGUUUCUUGGCAUCUGUGGCUCUUUUAGGGAAGGGUGUCGCCGACCCCGGGGUCUGCCCUUGCUUCGACGGCACAGCAGAAUCCAGGCCUGGACCCUGCAGUGUUCAAAGUUGCUAAACUCCAUGCAGGAGGACAGGCCUUGGCAGAUAAAAUGCAACUGAACAAUUGUCUUUAGUUAGUUAUAUAAAUAAAUAUAUGUUACAUAUUGCUCUGUCACCCAGGCUGGAG